CGGAGGUUACUGCUAUCGAGGUUCGACUAAGCCAUGCGAGUCGAAUGUAGCAAUACAUGGCGAACUGCUCAGUAACACGUGGACAACCUGCCCUUAGGUUGGGUAUAAACCCGGGAAACUGGGUAUAAUACCCGAUAGGUCUCGAUUGCUGGAAUGCAUCGAGAUUUAAAGCUCCGGCGCCUAAGGAUGGGUCUGCGGCCUAUCAGGUAGUAGUGGGUGUAGCGUACCUACUAGCCUACGACGGGUACGGGUUGUGAGAGCAAGAGCCCGGAGAUGGAUUCUGAGACACGAAUCCAGGCCCUACGGGGUGCAGCAGGCGCGAAAACUUUACAAUGCUGGCAACAGCGAUAAGGGAACCUCGAGUGCCAGGUUACAAAUCUGGCUGUCGAGAUGCCUAAAAAGCAUUUCAUAGCAAGGGCCGGGCAAGACCGGUGCCAGCCGCCGCGGUAACACCGGCGGCUCGAGUGGUAACCGUUAUUAUUGGGUCUAAAGGGUCUGUAGCCGGCCGGAUAAGUCUCUUGAGAAAUCUGGCAGCUUAACUGUCAGGCUUUCAGGAGAUACUGUCUGGCUCGAGGCCGGGAGAGGUGAGAGGUACUUCAGGGGUAGGGGUGAAAUCUUGUAAUCCUUGAAGGACCACCAG
rnacentral:rRNA from 1 species